rnacentral:rRNA from 1 species
AGGAUGAACGCUGGCGGCGUGCUUAACACAUGCAAGUCGAACGAUGAAGCCGGAGCUUGCUCUGGUGGAUUAGUGGCGAACGGGUGAGUAACACGUGAGUAACCUGCCCUUGACUCUGGGAUAAGCGUUGGAAACGACGUCUAAUACCGGAUACGACGCGCGAAGGCAUCUUCUGCGCGUGGAAAGAUUUCGGUCAAGGAUGGACUCGCGGCCUAUCAGCUAGUUGGUGAGGUAACGGCCCACCAAGGCGACGACGGGUAGCCGGCCUGGAGAGGGUCGACCGGCCACGACGUGGGACUGAGACGACGGCCCAGACCUCCGUACGGGAGGCAGCGAGUGGGGAAUAUUGCACGAAUGGGCGCGAAGCCGUGAGUGCAGCGAACGCCGCGUGGACGGACGACGG